UACGUAGGGGGCAAGCGUUGUCCGGAUUCAUUGGGCGUAAAGGGCGCGUAGGCGGCUCAUGAAGGCUGUGGUGAAAGUCCGGGGCUCAACCUCGGAUCGGCCGUGGCGACUCGUGGGCUGGAGCACUGUAGAGGCGGGUGGAAUUCCGGGUGUAGCGGUGGAAUGCGUAGAGAUCCGGGAAGAACACCAGUGGCGAAGGCGGCCCGCUGGGCAGUGGCUGACGCUGAGGGCGCGACAGCGUGGGGGAGCAAACAGG
rnacentral:rRNA from 1 species